UGAUGCACAGGAAUACGGGCCCAUCUAAUUUUUUAGUGCUACCUACCACCUAAAAAGGCCCUGUGCAUCAGGUUGGCCCAACAUCAGUGCAUCAGGGUGUCCAGACUUCACGCACGCACGCCUCCGCAAUGGGCCAAUACAGGCCACGCACACACGCACCUGCUGUUUGUUCCCCAGCCCAAGUCACGUACGCACGCUGUAAUCAAUCGAUCGAUCAGUUUCCCGUGUAGACGUACGUGCGCGUACCAAGCGGCCGUGAAAUCAAUCGAUCCAUACGACCUAUAUACGCCUCGCGUACACAGGCGGCAGCGAACCGGCGACGUCGGACGCCGCAGGCCGCAGCACCACAGCCACACUUGAGUUCCGCGCGACACCUACCGCACGUCGCAAUUUCGUCUUCGGCUGGCCCUCCUGCUCUCUGCAAUUCGGCGACCUGUCCGAGAGAUCUUCCGUUCUGUCUAUAGAUUGGAUAGGAAGGAACCCCAAUUCUGAUAAUAUUGAGAAGUUUCUUCUCAAAAGAAAAGCGCCAUCACAAGAUGUUUUGGAAAACAUAAUUUGGGGAGAGAGGAUUCAAUAUGAUCCGGGCAAGAGAAAAUUGAAAGAAUGAAUGAAAAAGGCCAGCAAUGCUCAAGUUGUUGAAUAUUUCGUCGCUCGGAGGUGUAGGAUGUACUAAAGGUUACUGAACCUUGUUGUCCAAUGAUGUAUUCUAGAAUUUGGAAAUGCAAGACAUCCAUUUUCAGCUCCGCCCCUGCCCACAAGGCGGCAUGGGCGCCUCCUUCGGUGCUUGCACGUGCAACAGUUAGGGUGGUGCCUCUGACUGGGCGGCGGUCGCCGGAUAUCCACAACCGGUGGGGUGGGCUGCCCAGCCUGGAUGGGUGGCGGUUGUGGCCGGCGCUCCAUGUAUGGCGUGGUGUGGCUCUUCUCCCGAUAGAAGGGUCAUGCCGACCAUGGAUCUGGCGUCCCAUCCAGAUCUAUCGCGGUAUGGUCUUGGUCAGCCCGCGGUGCACGGAAGGACCUGUGAGGGGCGGCGGGAGGCCCUCUGCCAGCGUUCCGGUGGCAGCAUAUGUCCUCAGGGCGAGGCUGUGCACAUAUCCAGUCAGCUGUGAGAUCGGGGCGGCGCAACUACCGGUGAAAAUCAUUCUGAUUACGGUCGUGACGGACGAUGGCAACGUCUCUCACAUCGUUUUCUUCUCGAGGCAUUGUCGUUGCAGGUUGUGUCACUACGCUCGGAAUUCUCCAGGGGAAACCCUAUAUCUGGGUAUCCCGGAUCAAACGAUGACGACGCCUUCAUUGUCAUUCUCCCUCUUGACGGCAUUGUUUUGGAGCAUGAGCUGGCGGAGGAGACAAGAGGAGGAGCGAUGUUACAUCUACCGCAAGACCGACGGCGUGACUUGGCGGCUUGGCGCAGCAGAGUAUCGGCGACGGGCGCCCGUGGGAUGAUGACGUUGUCUGGCGUCGCGGUGAUGUCGACGACAGAAUGGCCUGGCAAGAUGUAUAUGUUGAUCGAUCCUGAAGCUGGGAUGGCGAAAGAUGGCGGUGGAGGAUUCUAGAGUGGGCGCACGUGCUGCGCUCUGAGAGUCUAGCUACCGGUUUGUGCUCUCGGUUUGCCGUCGGACGGCUUAGUUAGGCCACCGAAAUAUAUGAUGUGUGUUGAAUGCAGUCAGGGCACAUCAUUAAGUUUGUAGGUGUAGCGACAUUAAUUGCUAGGAAGGUCGUCUUGGAUUGAUUCAUGUAUUUAUUUUGUUUGGUUCUGUUAAAUAAUAUAAUAAAGUGCUUGUAUGCAUCGC